rnacentral:lncRNA from 1 species
CUUGGGGCGGGACGUGGGGGUGGCCGGACUUUCUCCGGGGAGGUCUGCCGCUGAUGGGGGCAGGGGGUUCGGACCGACUGGGUUCUUGGACAGCGUGGGUGCCGUGACGGGCCUUGGGUCUCCUCUGCGUCCUUGGGCUCCAGAGCAGGGGAUACAGAUGAAAAAGGCCAGUUGGUUCAAGGAUGGGAUUUCCCCUCGAGAACUCAGGCCUAGGGCUGGACUCUCUGUGUGACCAGGAGCAAGUCGCCUAAACCUCCUGUGCCUCGAUUUCCCCCUUCUGCAAAGUGGGGCCAAGGAUUCUCAUUUGUCAGCACUCUUACUACCGAGCGCCGAAUAAGGGCAAAUCAGUCCCCUUUCUCCGCGUGUCUCUGUGCGCGCACACUAUCCACAGUCAUGUAAUCUCCACGGCUCGCUGUCCUUGAUUCCCAAGUCGGGUGGAGGGACGAGGGCAGGGUAACCAGCCUAGGGCCUCUGGGGCCACCUGCCACACAGGUGUUUGCUCAGCCACGUCCGUGGAGCUAGGCGGGUAAAGCAGGACCAACUGGCAGAUCUGUGUGGGCUUCGGCCCGGAGGCUGGGCACGGUACCCCUUCCCCAACCCCCGUCUCAAACAGAACUGCUUUUGGAGAUGGGUGGGACCCCUGGUCCACACCACCCCAACCUGGGCUUCACUCCCCUUGGGGUCAAGGGCAGGGUCAGGGGACUGGAGACCUGUUUGUUCUCAGAAUAAAU